CUAAACGGAAUCGUCUGUCCUCGCUCGUCGGCCCGCGUGAGUGCGUGUAGAUGGGACGGAGCGCUGCUGUGUUCUGUAGACGUGUCGUGUGUGUCCGAGGCCUCGGGUAACGCCGACGUAGAGACGAGGCGACAUCAUCGCCAGAGCCUCCGAGCCGCGCAGCACAGCAAGGCAGCUCCGACAGUAGAUCUGCAAAUCACAGGUUCAUCGAGUUAAUGCCCUCGUCACCGUUUCUAUAGUAACGGCUCCGUCACAGGGACCCGGACGUGUGCAGUCGACGCUACGGCGGAGUUUUCUUGGCGUUAACAUCGGCGUUUGCAGAAAAGUCCUCAUCGUAUUGAUGUUAUCGAGAGACGAGGGCUCUUCUUUACGCGCCGUGGAAGCUCGGCUCGGCCCGGCCCAGGCGUUUCCCAG
ensembl:lncRNA